UUGUGGAGGAGGACGCCGAAGGUGGGGCUAAUGACUGGGGUGAAGUCGUAACAAGGUAGCCGUACCGGAAGGUGCGGCUGGAUCACCUCCUAACAGGGAGACAACAAAAUGUAAAUAUUAAUUUUGUCACCUUAGGUCGAUCGGUAUUUCAGAUUCUUAUUAUUUAAGAAUUUCAGUUUCUAAGUUUUUUCUAGGUCACACCCAUCACUUUUUCCUGGGCCAUUAGCUCAGGUGGUUAGAGCGCACCCCUGAUAAGGGUGAGGUCCCUGGUUCAAGUCCAGGAUGGCCCAUAUCUCUAUGUUGGGGGUAUAGCUCAGUUGGUAGAGCGCCUGCUUUGCAAGCAGGAUGCCAGCGGUUCGAGUCCGCUUACCUCCACUGAAUACCACCUCUUACAUAUAGUUGAAGUGGGAAAUUGUUUUGAGUCGUGUCCUAAUUUGCUCUGAGCGAAUCUAGCUUCCUAUUUUAUCCAAGAAAUAAGAUGCUGGACUCAUUGAAUUUUUUUUCAUUGUUUUCAGAGAACCUUGACAACUGCAUAGAUUAUUUUUAAAGACAAUAAGCAUCUUUAAUGAUGCAGAUUUAUUAUUUGUGCGAAUGCAUUAAAUAACAAUUCUAUUAAGCUGAUGCUUCAAUUAUUGAAGUUAUUGGUCAAGCUACAA
rnacentral:misc_RNA from 1 species